rnacentral:rRNA from 1 species
CUGUGAGGCAUUGAGCUAACCGAUACUAAUUGCCCGUGAGGCUUAAUCAUACAACACCCAAGGGGUU